rnacentral:rRNA from 1 species
UACGAAGGGGGCGAGCGUUGUUCGGAAUUACUGGGCGUAAAGCGUGCGCAGGCGGCCUUCCAAGUCAGGGGUGAAAGCCCAGAGCUCAACUCUGGAAUUGCCUUUGAGACUGUGAGGCUUGAGUACGGGAGAGGUGAGUGGAAUUCCCAGUGUAGAGGUGAAAUUCGUAGAUAUUGGGAAGAACACCGGUGGCGAAGGCGGCUCACUGGCCCGAAACUGACGCUCAUGCACGACAGCGUGGGGAUCAAACAGG